UACGUAGGGUGCGAGCGUUGUCCGGAAUUAUUGGGCGUAAAGAGCUCGUAGGCGGUGUGUCACGUCGGCCGUGAAAACCUGCAGCUUAACUGUGGGCGUGCGGUCGAUACGGGCAUCACUGGAGUUCGGCAGGGGAGACUGGAAUUCCUGGUGUAGCGGUGAAAUGCGCAGAUAUCAGGAGGAACACCGGUGGCGAAGGCGGGUCUCUGGGCCGAUACUGACGCUGGAGGCACGAAAGCGUGGGGAGCAAACAGG
rnacentral:rRNA from 1 species